GUGCAGCAGUCGCGAAACUUUACAAUGUGCGAAAGCACGAUAAGGGAACUCUGAGUGCCUCCUAAGGAGGCUGUUCAGGUGUCUAAAAGCACCUGAAGGAAGGGCUGGGUAAGACCGGUGCCAGCCGCCGCGGUAACACCGGCAGCCCAAGUGGUAGCCACGUUUAUUGGGUCUAAAGCGUCCGUAGCCGGCUGGGUAAGUUCCUUGGGAAAUUUGGCUGCUUAACAGUCAAGCUUUCAGGGAAUACUGCCCGGCUUGGGACCGGGAGAGGUCAGAGGUACUCCAGGGGUAGGGGUGAAAUCCAUUAAUCCUUGGGGGACCACCGGUAGCGAAGGCGUCUGACCAGACCGGGUCCGACGGUGAGGGACGAAGGCUAGGGGCGCGAACCGGAUUAGAUACCCGCGUAGU
rnacentral:rRNA from 1 species